UUCUUCCUCUUCUUCAUCCUUCUUCUUCCUCCUCUCAAGUGCAAUCAAGAGUUGAUUGAAAGAGAGGAGAUCAGCCAUCAAAAGAAGUCUUUGCAAGGGAGCUAGCACCCCGGGAAGACAGGAAAGCUUUGAUCGGUCCUCUGCUUCGUGUGGAUACCCGUAGAGGCCGGACGUUUGAACGGCUUCAAGCGAACCCUUUUCCAAAACCACGAAUUCAGAUUUGCGGUGAUCAUCUACCCGCGCAAGGUGAA
rnacentral:lncRNA from 1 species